CAAAAUCCCAUUGUCGACCCUUCCUCUCCAAAAUAUAGAAAUCGUAUUUCACCGCCAAACGUAGUGAAUAAAGUCUUAGCCAUUGAGAAGAUCCGGAGAGACUAAGAAGCGAAAUCAUUAACAGCUCAAAGACAAAUUAUUGGUUUUUCAAUUUUUUUUGCAAACUGUAUUCUUGACCGGAAGAAGACGUGAAAAUUCUUAAAAGCACAGUCUAAUUAAAGCGACUACGACAAAAAAUUUCAGUCCAAUUAUUUUGUAAGUUGCGUUCUUCACAGGAUGAACACGUUGAAACUUAAAAAACAAAGUUCAGUUAAAGCAAAGAGAAAGACUAAUUGGUUGUCCAAAUUUUUCGCAAACUGCCUUCUUGAAAGGAAAGAACGCAUGAAAAUUCUGAAAAAUGGAGAGGACAAAGACUCCCGUUUCAUGGGCAAGACGCAAACCAAUGUCGUUCAUGCAUAAGGAGGUUCACCCAAUGAUUUGGAAUCCGGACUCUGAAGCAUCGAUGCACAUGACAAAUAAUCCUUCUACCCUUACUUCUCAUGCUCGAUACUCGGGUUCUUCUCAGGUCAUGGUUGGUGAUGGACAAGAAAACCAACACAACAUUGCUCCGUUGUAAAAAUAUUGGGUCUUUUUAUCCUCUCCGAGUCGUAUCACCUGGCUCCUCCAACUUUGGUCUCUUUGCUAAUGUCGUGCCUGCUUCCAUUUGGCAUCAACCUUUGGGACAUCCUGGUCAAUAAUCUUUAAGUUCUUUAGUUUCUAGAAAAUUGAUUAUUAGUUCUUCUUCCUUUAGCAAUAAUUCUUAUAAUGUUAGAUUGUCAUUUUCUUUAUCCAGUAGAAAUGCAAAUUCUC